rnacentral:miRNA from 1 species
CUAAAGUGAGAAAGUGCGAAACC